AAAGUAUGAUGAGGUUUCACUUCCUGGUCUGUUUCUGAAACACAUGGUCCUGUGAAAGUUCUGAUUUG
ensembl:snoRNA SNORD18 Small nucleolar RNA SNORD18